rnacentral:rRNA from 1 species
GACGAACGCUGGCGGCGUGCUUAACACAUGCAAGUCGAACGCUGAAGCUUGGUGCUUGCACUGGGUGGAUGAGUGGCGAACGGGUGAGUAAUACGUGAGUAACCUGCCCUUGACUCUGGGAUAAGCCUGGGAAACUGGGUCUAAUACUGGAUACGACAUGUCACCGCAUGGUGGUGUGUGGAAAGGGUUUUACUGGUUUUGGAUGGGCUCACGGCCUAUCAGCUUGUUGGUGGGGUAAUGGCUCACCAAGGCGACGACGGGUAGCCGGCCUGAGAGGGUGACCGGCCACACUGGGACUGAGACACGGCCCAGACUCCUACGGGAGGCAGCAGUGGGGAAUAUUGCACAAUGGGCGAAAGCCUGAUGCAGCGACGCCGCGUGAGGGAUGACGGCCUUCGGGUUGUAAACCUCUUUCAGCCCGGAAGAAGCGAAAGUGACGGUACGUGCAGAAGAAGCGCCGGCUAACUACGUG